AUUAUUUUAAACUUUUGUAUAUGUUUUUAUUGAAACAUUUAAUGAUGAAAAGCAAAACAAUGAACGUUUUUCCCCUACAGAUUUAUUGUCAGCAUUUUAAUUCAGAGGUGGAUUCCAGUGGGUGGAGGAGAGCCAUUAUACACAUUUUUUUCUUUCAGAUUUUUUGUCAGCAUUUUAAUUCAGAGAUGGAUUCCAGUGGGUGGAGGAGGGCCAUUAUACACAUUUUUUUCUUUCAGAUUUUUUGUCAGCAUUUUAAUUCAGAGGUGGAUUCCAGUGGGUGGAGGAGGGCCAUUAUACACAUUUUUUUCUUUCAGGUAUUAACUUUUUUGUUUGUUUAUUAUACUUUGUUUCUUGCGUAAUUAUUUUAAAUAUUUGUAUAUGUUUUUAUUGAAACAUUUAAUGAUGAAAAGCUAAACAAUGAACGUUUUUCC